AGUGAACGCUGGCGGUAGGCCUAACACAUGCAAGUCGAACGGCAGCACAGGAGAGCUUGCUCUCUGGGUGGCGAGUGGCGGACGGGUGAGGAAUACAUCGGAAUCUACUCUGUCGUGGGGGAUAACGUAGGGAAACUUACGCUAAUACCGCAUACGACCUACGGGUGAAAGCAGGGGACCUUCGGGCCUUGCGCGAUUGAAUGAGCCGAUGUCGGAUUAGCUAGUUGGCGGGGUAAAGGCCUACCAAGGCGACGAUCCGUAGCUGGUCUGAGAGGAUGAUCAGACACACUGGAACUGAGACACGGUCCAGACUCCUACGGGAGGCAGCAGUGGGGAAUAUUGGACAAUGGGCGCAAGCCUGAUCCAGCCAUACCGCGUGGGUGAAGAAGGCCUUCGGGUUGUAAAGCCCUUUUGUUGGGAAAGAAAUCCAGCUGGCUAAUACCCGGUUGGGAUGACGGUACCCAAAGAAUAAGCACCGGCUAACUUCGUGCCAGCCGCCGCAGUAA
rnacentral:rRNA from 1 species